rnacentral:rRNA from 1 species
GUGUCAGCAGCCGCGGUAAUACGGGGGGGGCAAGCGUUGUUCGGAAUUACUGGGCGUAAAGGGUCUGUAGGUGGCUUGCUAAGUCAGACGUGAAAUCCCUCAGCUUAACUGGGGAACUGCGUCUGAGACUGGCGAGCUUGAGGGCAGGAGAGGAACGCGGAAUUCCAGGUGUAGCGGUGAAAUGCGUAGAUAUCUGGAGGAACACCGGUGGCGAAGGCGGCGUUCUGGACUGCAUCUGACACUGAAAGACGAAAGCCAGGGGAGCAAACGGGAUUAGAAACCCUCGUAGUCC